UACGUAGGGGGCAAGCGUUGUCCGGAAUUAUUGGGCGUAAAGCGCGUGUAGGCGGUCCGAUAAGUCUGCUGUAAAAGUCAAGGGCUUAACCCUUGAAAGCCGGUGGAUACUGUCGGGCUAGAGUACGGAAGAGGCGAGUGGAAUUCCUGGUGUAGCGGUGAAAUGCGCAGAUAUCAGGAGGAACACCAAUUGCGAAGGCAGCUCGCUGGGACGUUACUGACGCUGAGACGCGAAAGCGUGGGGAGCAAACAGG
rnacentral:rRNA from 1 species